ACUUAAAUUGAAGAGUUUGAUCAUGGCUCAGAUUGAACGCUGGCGGCAGGCCUAACACAUGCAAGUCGGACGGUAGCACAGAGGAGCUUGCUCCUUGGGUGACGAGUGGCGGACGGGUGAGUAAUGUCUGGGGAUCUGCCCGAUAGAGGGGGAUAACCACUGGAAACGGUGGCUAAUACCGCAUAACGUCGCAAGACCAAAGAGGGGGA
rnacentral:rRNA from 1 species